rnacentral:rRNA from 1 species
CUGCUUACACAUGCAAGUCGAGCGGUAAGGCCUUUCGGGGUACACGAGCGGCGAACGGGUGAGUAACACGUGGGUGAUCUGCCCUGCACUUCGGGAUAAGCCUGGGAAACUGGGUCUAAUACCGGAUAUGACCUCAGGUUGCAUGACUUGGGGUGGAAAGAUUUAUCGGUGCAGGAUGGGCCCGCGGCCUAUCAGCUUGUUGGUGGGGUAAUGGCCUACCAAGGCGACGACGGGUAGCCGACCUGAGAGGGUGACCGGCCACACUGGGACUGAGACACGGCCCAGACUCCUACGGGAGGCAGCAGUGGGGAAUAUUGCACAAUGGGCGAAAGCCUGAUGCAGCGACGCCGCGUGAGGGAUGACGGCCUUCGGGUUGUAAACCUCUUUCAGCAGGGACGAAGCGCAAGUGACGGUACCUGCAGAAGAAGCACCGGCUAACUACGUGCCAGCAGCCGCGGUAAUACGUAGGGUGCAAGCGUGGUCCGGAAUUACUGGGCGUAAAGAGUUCGUAGGCGGUUUGUCGCGUCCUUUGUGAAAACCAGCAGCUCAACUGCUGGCUUGCAGGCGAUACGGGCAGACUUGAGUACUGCACGGGAGACUGGAAUUCCUGGUGUACCGGUGAAAUGCGCCGAUAUCAAGAAGAACACGGUGGGCGAAAGCGGGUCUCUGGGCAGUAACUGACCCUAAGGAACGAAAGCGUGGGUA